GGCACAGUGAACUCCUCAUAGCAUCUUCUUUGGAAUUACUCAGGAACCAGAACUUUUUACACAAAUGUAAGAAAUUCUACCAAGGAGUCCCCUUACCUAACAGCAUCUCACAAGGCUGCACCAGAUUCCAGAAGAGGCUUCUCUUGAUACAUCAAGCAUUUUGUGACCGACUUAUUCUUAGAUCAUUGGUUUUCCAAAGGCUUUGUGGCCAUGAAGCCCUUUGAGUGAAAACUGUGCAGAAGCCCAGAGUAAAAGUGAAGCUGCUCUGGAUGAAGUAGUGAAGCAAGAGUAGGGGCCUGAAUCCUGCUACAACUAUCUUCCUUUACCACCGUGGUGACACCUAAGGGGACUUCCUUACAACACCUUGAACUCUUCCGAACACAGUUUGAAAACCACUGCCCCAGACAGCAAUAUGUUUGACCUGAAUGGCAUUCCAAUCUUUUCUGUACCUCCACUCAGCACAGUUCAUGUUCAGUAGAUGCUGAACAUUCUUAGAAAUACUGUGUGUGAACUUAGAAAAGUGCAAGAAGACAGGCAUGUCUUUGACCCCAGAAAUGAUCAUGGGCUGAAGAUGGUGUCAAGUGAACCUAGAUUAACAGCCCUCCACUCCAGAUGGAUAUCCAGUGAUUCCUAGAAUGGGAUAUAGCCAGAGAACAAUUCUAUGCACCCUACACUGACAGACUCCCUUAAGCAACACCAGAUGCUCUACUGGUACUUGAAGUACAUGACUUUGAAGUCUUGACCCUCCAUGAAUACCUGAAUUAUCAGCAAGCGGGUUUUGAAGCUGGUGCCUCAUUGAGGCCAUAUUAGAGCAACUUGUACAUUUGACCUCUUGUUAUCAGCCAUGGUACUCUACUUCGUGGGCAAGAGAUAACUAUGAAAGCCAAAUUCAAAUACUGGCAACAUUUCCUAAAGGGGCUCAAUAUCUAUCAUUCAUCUUCUUUUCCAAACUACACAUCACUGUAUGACUCAACCAGUAGCAGUUAUAUUGCCCCUUGGUUUUUAUUCAGUUUAACUACUGUUUCCAAGAUAAAUGAGCUAAUAAGCUUUAAAAAAAAAAAAAAAAGGCUGAAUUCUUUUUUCUUCGUCACUGGCAUAUCUGCCUAUUCUCCAGAAUUACGACUAUUCAGCUCACUUUAACAGUUGAACUUCAAGCGACAAUCUUUGAACACCCCUUCUCAUGUGAUUUAAAAUGAAACCAUUUGGAAAAGUUUCUUCUAGCCAGUAAUAGAUUUUUUUUUUAAUUGCUCUGCCUUGUGCCGAGAGAUGUUCUUUUAAGAUGAAUCUUUUGAUGUCUGAUACCACCAAAUAUAGGUGGUAGGGAGAGUUGGAGGCUGGCCCUUUGAGCAGGCCAUUAGCUUACUUGCUGGGCAUUUCCGAUAGCUUAUUGCCUACCUUUUUGCUGGAAACAAACUGAUUUGAAAAACAAAAUCUAUGAAGACUGCAGCUAAGGAUUUUAUCGGUAGACUUAAGAGCUUUUGUCCUUGUGGAUAUUUUAGUGGAACCACAUCAGUCUCAAUACCGUCAUUUUACACUGACUCAGAGCAGCUGACUUCAUUCCUUGCCAUGAUAUAUAUUUAAGGCAGGCAUUGUAACAGACAUAAAGACAACUUAUCUGUUUCAGCAGGAAGGAUUCAGUUUAUGAACUCUCAGACCAGAUCACGUUGAACAAGGAGACUUUGAUGUGUGUCAUGAGAAAACUCAUUCUUUACUUCCCAGUCAAUUUAAAGGCCAGCUAUCCUGAGCUACUCGAAUGGAUGCACUGGUUAAACAUUGGAAAUAGUUUGUUUAUAUCCUUGUCUCUCUCUAGGCCAAUUGUGAUUACAUGACUCGACUCUACAUCUCGUCAAACAAGGCCUAGGUCUGGUUGCUGUAGACUGCUCGCCCUCAACAAAUAAAAUCUGGUUGACUAGCCUCCUUGUAUAUACAACUAUUAUUUGUUAAGAAGAAAUUAUCGUCAAUUUUCUACUACCUUCUAAUUGUCAGCUCUUUUUUUCCUCUCUGGUUUUUCCUAUACUUUACAGAAAAAGACAUUGAUCUAUACUGCCAUUCCCUCUAAUCCUGCCAUACUCAGUCAAAAGGAAUGACUUAAGAUGAAGAUGAUCAUCUGCUCAAGUCUAAAAUAUACAUUGUAUAUAAGAAUUGGUGAUUAGAAAAGCAAAAAACCUAAAACUUAAAUCUAGGAGUCUGUAUACUGUCUCCAUGUCUCCAUGCCUCAGAUCUCAUCUAAAUCUUUGAACAGCACCAUUCAACCAAUCUGAGGCCUUGACUUGCUUGUAAGAUGAUUCUCAGAGAUCGGCUGAGUUAAAAAAGAUGACGACUUGAUUACCAAAGAAAGUAGGGCCAACUUUGACAAAUCUGGCUCUGCUGACCCUGUCACUCCCAGAUGUAGCAUAGACUCCUAAACAGAACCUCAAGUCUGAUUGAGGAUAAGGCCUUCUCCUGUGCUGAAAGUUCUUUGGCAGAUGAGCAAGAAACUGAAAGCUGAUGUACCUGACUGGCUCUGUAAGAUCAGAAAACUAUAUCCAGAACAAGCCCUAUGGAUUAACCCCUGAGUACCCAGAGUAAAAACUAAUUUACAGAACUUCCUUAUUGAUCUGCUGAUUCUUCCAGAUCAUAUUCUGGCUAUUGGUAUGGCUGGCCUUUCUGAAGGUACCCUGCUUGUCUAUUUUCCUGACUCAGCUCUUGCCUGCCUUUUUCACAUGUUGCUGCAAUUAGACUCACCGUGAGAAGACUACAGUCAAUUUCAGUCUAUCUUGUGCCCAAUACAACAAGGAUUUUUAAUAGUAACAACCCACACCUCACCCACUAGGACUCAAUGUUCACAACAGGAAGGACCAUUGCUGCAUACUCCUUGACCAGCAACUUUUUUAAAGAUAUUUUUAAGUGCAGAGUAGGCCUCUAUUCCUGUAUGUAAUUGUUCAUUUUCAGCACCUGGAACCUCAUCUAUCGGGUCUGGAAGGAACACAGCAGUUCGAAAGCCGCGUCCAUUUCUCUCCUUCAGUAGUGCAGAAAUGAGUCCGAUUCACCAGUACACACAGAACUGUACCAGUUCAACCUAGCAAAAGAAGAAAAGUUUCCACUGUACUUAAAAUUUACAGCUGACUCAAAUUGCCUCACAGAAUUAUUUGAUGUAGAAGGCUAGUUGUCUUACUUCAGAUCAGCAGGACAGUUGGGCUCUCAGACUCAUGACCACUGAGUUUGCUUGUAUUGAAACUGUGGUUUCAUCCAACGUAUGCUAUUGGACAUGAUUAUUAUUCCAUUCAAAUGGAUUACAGACUUCUUGAGGACAGGACAAACUUAUCUCUCAUGGUGUUUUUUUAGAAUACUUUUAUAACCAAGGAAGAAACCAUGCCAGCUGUUACCAUUCAACUUCUUAAGCAAAGAUUAAGCUUUUUCAUAUCUGUUCUUAUCCUGGACAUCAGUAGUUUUUAAUUGCCCAGCAUCCGUUCCAUCUUGUUGUAACAACUCCCUGAUGUUUCUUAAAACCACCUCUUCCUAUUUUCAGUCUGUGGUUUGGACAGUCUGACCCAACCUUGAGCUUUGUGGGUGAAAAUGUAAUUCAGACCUCAUCAAUCAGCAAAUCCAUCUGAACUGUGGAGGAGAAGCUCUCUUUACUGAGGGUGCUUUAGCUUUGUAGGAUGAAAACCUCAAACCAACAGGGCCUACCAUGUAGAGAAUGAAGCCAGUGCAGGGGAAAGCAGAGCCAAAAUAUGGAGAGACUUGAAUCCUGAUGACAGCGUUUGUGCCCCUGGAUCCAACCGUGCCUGAAGCUAGAAUAUCCCCUGGACUUUUCAGUUAUGUGAACCAAUAAAUACCCUUUUUUGCUUAAGUUA